rnacentral:misc_RNA from 1 species
GAAAUGCGAUAAGUAAUGUGAAUUGCAGAAUUCAGUGAAUCAUCGAAUCUUUGAACGCACAUUGUGCCCGCCAGUAUUCUGGCGGGCAUGCCUGUUCGAGCGUCAUUACAACCCUCAGGCCCCCGUGCCUGGCGUUGGGGAUCGGCGGAAGCCCCCUGCGGGCACAACGCCGUCCCCCAAAUACAGUGGCGGUCCCGCCGCAGCUUCCAUUGCGUAGUAGCUAACACCUCGCAACUGGAGAGCGGCGCGGCCACGCCGUAAAACACCCAACUUCUGAAUGUUGACCUCGAAUCAGGUAGGAAUACCCGCUGAACUUAAGC